rnacentral:rRNA from 1 species
ACGUCGCUGGCGGCACGCCUUAUACCUGCAGUCGAACGCAGUAGCAAUACUGAGUGGCAACGGGUGAGUAUAAUGUGGGUAUCUGCCUUUUGGUUUGGAAUAACAUGAGGAAACUUAUGCUAAUACCGAAUAAGCCUUCACAGGGGAAAGUUUUAUACGCCGAAAGAUGAGCCCGCACUUGAUUAGUUUGUUGGUGAGGUAAUGGCUCACCAAGACAAUUAUCAAUAACUGGUCUGAGAGGACGAUCAGCCACAUUGGGACUGAGACACGGCCCAGACUCCUACGGGAGGCAGCAGUAAGGAAUCUUGCACAAUGGGGGAAACCCUGAUGCAGCGAUGCCGCGUGAGUGAAGAAGGCCCUUGGGUUGUAAAACUCUUUCGUCGGGGAAGAAAAUGACUGUACCCGAAUAAGAAGGUCCGGCUAACUUCGUGCCAGCAGCCGCGGUAAUACGAAGGGACCUAGCGUAGUUCGGAAUUACUGGGCUUAAAGAGCUCGUAGGUGGUUGAAAAAGUUGAUGGUGAAAUCCCAAGGCUUAACCUUGGAACUGCCAUCAAAACUUUUUAGCUUGAGUGUGAUAC